CGUGGACGUCGUGGCGGACUUCCGCAGCCGCGAUGUGGCCGCCGGCGGCCAGGGCGCGCCCCUGGUGCCGCCGUUCCACGCGGCGGUCUUCGGC
rnacentral:tRNA from 1 species